UACGUAGGGGGCAAGCGUUGUCCGGAAUCAUUGGGCGUAAAGCGCGUGUAGGCGGUUCGGUGAGUCUGCUGUGAAAGUCCAGGGCUCAACCCUGGGAUGCCGGUGGAUACUGUCGGGCUAGAGUACGGAAGAGGCGAGUGGAAUUCCCGGUGUAGCGGUGAAAUGCGCAGAUAUCAGGAGGAACACCGAUGGCGAAGGCAGGUCUCUGGGCCACUACUGACGCUGAGAAGCGAAAGCAUGGGGAGCGAACAGG
rnacentral:rRNA from 1 species